rnacentral:rRNA from 1 species
UACGGGGGGGGCUAGCGUUGUUCGGAAUUACUGGGCGUAAAGCGUGCGUAGGUGGUUUGUUAAGUCUGAUGUGAAAGCCCUGGGCUCAACCUGGGAAUUGCAUUGGAUACUGGCAGGCUAGAGUGCGGUAGAGGGUAGUGGAAUUCCCGGUGUAGCAGUGAAAUGCGUAGAGAUCGGGAGGAACAUCCGUGGCGAAGGCGACUACCUGGACCAGCACUGACACUGAGGCACGAAAGCGUGGGGAGCAAACAGG